GGAGCAUCCUAGAUUAAAUAUGUGCACCUAUAUUUGCAUACUGCAGACUCUUCACCUUCCAGCACAGACCCUUUGGCCUCCUGAUACAGACUCACAUGGGGCACCACCACAUGGAGCUCCAGGCCUUCGAGUUGAUCCUUCAGAUCCCCAGUGCAAAGACCUUUUCCACUCUUCUACACCAGACUCUGUGGGUGGCCAUGGGAUCGAACUCAGGUCCUUGAGCUUGUGCAGCAGGCGAUGAAACCACUGAGCUAAAUCCCCAGCCCCUGAUAACACCUUUCAUUAAGAAUGGAAAGGCAUGUUUUGUCCCUUUGUGAUCCUUUGAGAAUGAACAGAAGCUGCCAAGAAAAAG
ensembl:lncRNA